GUACACUCCUACGGGAGGCAGCAGUGGGGAAUUUUGGACAAUGGGCGAAAGCCUGAUCCAGCAAUGCCGCGUGCAGGAUGAAGGCCUUCGGGUUGUAAACUGCUUUUGUACGGAACGAAAAAGCUCCUUCUAAUACAGGGGGCCCAUGACGGUACCGUAAGAAUAAGCACCGGCUAACUACGUGCCAGCAGCCGCGGUAAUACGUAGGGUGCGAGCGUUAAUCGGAAUUACUGGGCGUAAAGCGUGCGCAGGCGGUUAUGUAAGACAGAUGUGAAAUCCCCGGGCUCAACCUGGGAACUGCAUUUGUGACUGCAUGGCUAGAGUACGGUAGAGGGGGAUGGAAUUCCGCGUGUAGCAGUGAAAUGCGUAGAUAUGCGGAGGAACACCGAUGGCGAAGGCAAUCCCCUGGACCUGUACUGACGCUCAUGCACGAAAGCGUGGGGAGCAAACAGGAUUAGAUACCCCAGUAGUCCCAUG
rnacentral:rRNA from 1 species